GAUAUUGCACAAUGGGGGAAACCCUGAUGCAGCGACGCCGCGUGAGUGAAGAAGUAUUUCGGUAUGUAAAGCUCUAUCAGUAGGGAAGAAAAUGACGGUACCUGACGAAGAAGCCCCUGCUAACUACGUGCCAGCAGCCGCGGUAAUACGUAGGGGGCAAGCGUUAUCCGGAUUUACUGGGUGUAAAGGGAGCGUAGGUGGUGUGGUAAGUCAGAUGUGAAAGCCCGUGGCUCAACUGCGGGAUUGCAUUUGAAACUACCAAACUAGAGUGCAGGAGAGGUAAGUGGAAUUCCUAGUGUAGCGGUGAAAUGCGUAGAUAUUAGGAGGAACACCAGUGGCGAAGGCGGCUUACUGGACUGUAACUGACACUGAGGCUCGAAAGCGUGGGGAGCAAACAG
rnacentral:rRNA from 1 species